AUUAUAGUGGUAUAGUGGUUCAGCAGGUAGCAUUGCUGAAUUACUGCUACAGCAUCCUCAGUUCAAUCCUGAGCUUGAUUA